rnacentral:rRNA from 1 species
GAGUUUGAUCCUGGCUCAGAACGAACGCUGGCGGCGUGGAUAAGACAUGCAAGUCGUGCGACAGACCAGGAAUUGAUUACUUCGGUUUGAUUUUCCGGACGAUGAGCGGCGAACGGGUGCGUAACACGUGAGAAACCUGCCUUGAAGUUCGGGAUAGCUCGGCGAAAGUCGAAUUAAUACCGAAUGUGGCCCAGGGAUAGCAUUUUCCCUUGGUUAAAGCUCGGUCAAAGAGCGCUUUUAGAUGGUCUCGCGGUCUAUCAGCUUGUUGGUGAGGUAACGGCUCACCAAGGCUACGACGGAUAACUGAUCUGAGAGGAUGAUCAGUCACACUGGAACUGAGACACGGUCCAGACACCUACGGGUGGCAGCAGUCGAGAAUCAUUCACAAUGGGCGCAAGCCUGAUGGUGCGACGCCGCGUGGGGUAAGAAGGGCUUCGGUCUGUAAACCCCUGUCAUCUGUGAGUAAGGUCUCGUAUAAAAGCUACGAGAAUUGAUAUUAACAGAAGAGGAAGGGACGGCUAACUCUGUGCCAGCAGCCGCGGUAAUACAGAGGUCCCAAGCGUUGUUCGGAUUUACUGGGCGUAAAGGGUGCGUAGGCGGUUAGAAAAGUUUGGUGUGAAAUCUUCGGGCUCAACCCGGAAACUGCACUGAAAACUAUUUGACUAGAGGAUCGGAGAGGAGAUUGGAAUUCUCAGUGUAGCAGUGUAAUGCGUAGAUAUUGAGAGGAACACCAGUUGCGAAGGCGGAUCUCUGGACGAUUCCUGACGCUGAGGCACGAAAGCUGGGGGAGCGAAGAGGAUUAGAUACCCUCGUAGUCCUAGCCGUAAACGGUGCGCACUUGCUGUGGGCGGAUUCGACCCCGUCCGUGGCGAAGCUAACGCGUUAAGUGCGCCGCCUGGGGAGUACGGUCGCAAGAUUAAAACUCAAAGAAAUUGACGGGGACCCGCACAAGCGGUGGAGUAUGUGGUUUAAUUGGAGGCAACGCGAAGAACCUUACCUGGUCUUGACAUGCCCGUCAUAGUUUUCCGAAAGGAAUUCGUCAGUUAGGCUGGACGGUGCACAGGUGCUGCAUGGCUGUCGUCAGCUCGUGUCGUGAGAUGUUCGGUUAGGUCCGGCAACGAGCGCAACCCUCGUUCCUAGUUGCCAGCGGGUAAUGCCGGGGACUCUAGGAAGACAAACCUCGUGUAGAGGUGGGAAGGUGGGGACGACGUCAAGUCAGUAUGGCCCUUACGACCAGGGCUGCACACGUGCUACAAUGCCCGGUACAAUGGGAUGCAAUACCGCGAGGUUGAGCCAAUCCAUAAAACCGGGCCCAGUUCGGAUUGGAGUCUGCAACUCGACUCCAUGAAGUUGGAAUCGCUAGUAAUGGCGUAUCAGCAACGACGCCGUGAAUACGUUCCCGGGCCUUGUACACACCGCCCGUCACAUCAUGAAAGCCGGUUCUGCCCGAAGUACGUGAGCCAACCGCAAGGAGGCAGCGUCCUAAGGUGGGGCUGGUGAUUGGGAUGAAGUCGUAACAAGGUAACC